UGAUGCCACAGAAUGACUCAGCCGUGGUUUUGCGGCAAACUACACUCAAGCUUCAGACGCGGGUGGCGCUGUGGGUUAAACCACAGAGCCUAGGACUUGCUGAUCAGAAGGUCGGUGGUUCGAAUCCCCACGACGGGGUGAGCUCCCGUUGCUCGGUCCCUGCUCCUGCCAACCUAGCAGUUUGAAAGCACAUCAAAGUGCGAGUAGAUAAAUAGGUACCAGUCCGGCAGGAAGGUAAACGGCGUUUCCGUGCACUGCUCUGGUUCGCCAGAAGCGGCUUAGUCAUGCUGGCCACAUGACCCAGAAGCUGUGCUCCCUUGGCCAGUAAAAUGAGAUGAGCGCCACAACCCGAGUCGGUCACGACUGGACCCAAUGGUCAGGGGUCCCCUUUAUCUUACACUCAAGCGUGGUAUUAGUCAGAGCACAACUGUCCGCAUUGAAAGGCAAUCGCGUACCUGCAAAUUUACGGCCACGUGCACACAAGCAGAGAAUUAUUUGUGGCCCUGUAGAUACCGUAUUUUUUGCUCUAUAAGACUCACUUUUUCCCUUCUAAAAAGUAAGGGGAAAUGUGUGUGCGUCUUAUGGAGCGAAUGCAGGCUGCGCAGCUAUCCCAGAAGCCAGAACAGCACGAGGGCUUGCUGCUUUCACUGCGCAGCGAUCCCUCUUGCUGUUCUGGCUUCUGAGAUUCAGAAUAUUUUUUUUUCUUGUUUUCCUCCUCCCAAAACUAGGUGCGUCUUGUGGUCUGGUGCGUCUUAUAGAGCGAAAAAUACGGUAAGUCUUUUCAAAAGGGGCUCAACAGGGCAUACUCCUAAAUAAGGCCACCAUAUAGCUGGGAUAGCUCCGUCGGUGGAGCAUGAGACUCUUAAUCUCAAGGACGCAGGUUUGAGUCCCAAGUCAGGCAAAUAAAUAAAUAAAUCCCUGUAUUGCAGGGAAUUUGGGCUACGGAUGACCCUCGCAGCGCCUUCUGCCUCUAUAUUCCUAUGAUUUAAAGCACUCUUUAAAUCAGCUUUAAACUGUCAUGGCUUCCCCCAAAGAAUUCUGGGAGUUGUAGUUUGUUAAGGUGCUGAGAGCUAUAAGGAGGACCCUAUUCCCCCCUAUACCAGAGCUACAAUUCCCAGAGUUCUCUGUGAAGAAAUUUAUUGUUAAACCACUCUGGGAACUGUAGUGCCAUGAGGGGACAAUUUUCAGCACCCUUGACAAACUACAGUUCCCAGAAUUCUUUGAGGCGUAAGCCCAAACUGCUUAAAGUGGUAUCACGGUGCUUUAAAUAUACAGUGCGAAUGUGGCCUAACAUGGGAUAGGACUGCAAGGCUUAAUGUGUUUUCUUGCUGCGUAGAAGGUUUCCUCAUUGCUGUCCUGGCGGCUUAUAUAAUUGUUGGCUGCUCAGCUUGACCAAGAAACCGAUACCUCGCUAUUACACACACACAGUGUCCUGCUUGCCCAGGAAGCUGUAAAACCUCUCUGAUUCCUUCUGGAGUAAGCAAGUCGCAGACUCUGGAUUAAAAUACAGCACAAUCUGUGCCCAGUGUCCAGUUUUCAAACCAGACUCGCAACAUCACUGAAUCCUGUCCCCUCUAAAUGCCAAAGAUCACCAAUCCUCGUCGGGCGGGUUUCAGCGUUAAAGCACAUCUCUCUCACAAAUACCAGGGCAAGGCCAGACGUACCGGUUGCAAUUUCACAAGAGCAUUUUUGCUAGCCCAAAAAUGGAAAGCGAGCGAGGUUCCAGCCAAAGAAGAACGGCAACGUAAACUGAUGGAAUAUGCGCAGCUUGCAGAUUUAACAUACAGGAUAAGAGAACAAGAAGAACACACAUUUAAAGGAGACUGGAAAAUGUUUACUGAAUAUAUUGGGGAAAUUGUGUAGAUUUGAAAACGUGGGCGGCAUUUAGAUCAAUUCAACAGUGUAAACAAGUUUUGAUGGAUGUAACAAUGGAAUACUGAAUGGUUUAGUUCAUGUAAAAUAUGCAGGGAUGUAUGGUAUGCAAAAUGAACCGCGGAAAGAGAAGAAGGGAGCGGCAAAGGAUCCUAAUUGCUAAAAACUGGGAAAAAGAAACUGUGCCAACAAAAAAGGAAUGGCAAGAUAAACAGGCUAGAUUAACAGAGGCAUUCAGAGAUCACACUGGACAAGAGUUUCAAAAAGCAUGUGGAAAAUGCAGAGAAUACUUCACAAAACAGUGCCCUAAAAUACAUACCUGGACUUGUUUCGAUUAAUGUUUGCAGGAGACUUUGUGGAUAUUUAAGUUAUAAUUAGAAAAAUCUUAAUAAUUAUUCAUAAAGGAGUUUAUAAGAAGUAAAUAAGGAGGCCAGAUACAGGGUAAAGGAAGUCUUUUAUUUGGUUGUUUGUACUGAUGUAUGUUAUGCUCAUUGUAUGUUAAGUUCAUGUUUAAUGAGGGUGGAUUUGUGUAUUGGGGGGUUGGGGGGUUGUAUUAUGUUGUAAAUAAAAUUCCAAUAAAAAUAUAUUUUAAAAAAGGAAAGAGAAGAAGGAAAGUCAUUGGUUUCAGGUUGCCUAAAUGGAUAUUUGAAAUGUAAAUUAGAAAAAUUUAAUUAAAAUUUUAAUAAAAAAAUUAUGGUGGG